rnacentral:misc_RNA from 1 species
GAUUACUGUGGUGUUGCUUUACUAAUUUUAUUUUAUUUUCUCAUGUCAACUUAUCCGAGUCCAUUAUGGACUCUCACCUCCUCUUUGCAAUUCGAGGGAGUCAUAAUUUCUCCAUCAAGUGUCCCACUUUUAAAUCGACAUAGAGGUAUUUGAAGUGGCAGAAGUGGAAGAAAUUAGGCCAUAAGAGCCUAAAUUUUACUUUGCCAAAAAAAUUGUAUCUUUUUGUCUU